rnacentral:ncRNA from 1 species
AUCUUCAGGGCAGGGUGAGUAAUAACAAUUCCCGACCGGUGGUUACAGUCCACGAAAGUUUUUUAACUUUGAAUCGGUGAAAUUCCGAUACCGACAGUAUAGUCUGGAUGGAAGAAGGA